rnacentral:misc_RNA from 1 species
AGACCCUCAAGCAUAGCUUGGUGUUGGGCAAGGUCCAGGGGGACCUGCCCGUAACUUGUAGGCGGUCACCGCCCGUGCCCCUAGCGUAGCAAGCUUUUCACGCAUUCGCUUGGGGAAUGGCAAGUCUGACCUGCCAGGCAAAACCCAAACCCAUUUCCAAGGU